rnacentral:lncRNA from 10 species
GAAAGUAAAGAUGCUUUCCUGCAUCCUAAUACCUCAAACGCGAAUCACAAACAGGGGCCUUUCUGUUCUGAUUCCCUGAUUCUAAGAGGCCACCUGUUUAAGAUGCAUCAUUGACUGAAUGACAGCCUUUUCUUGAAGGGGAAGAAAUGCUUCUACUUUAAAUAAAUGUACCAAGUUACGAGUGCAGGAAGGGAACGAGUUUUAGACCUGGGUUCUCAUCGUGGAUGCCCCAGUUUUUGCUGAUGAACCUUGGGCAAGUUACUCUACCUCUCUGAGCUUCCAGUUUUUUAGCUGGAAACUGAGCAUAAUCAUUUUGACCUCAGAGAGCUGUUCAUGAGGUGUCACUAAGAUAACGCAUGACGAGAGCUUAGAACAGUGCGUGGUUCUCAGGUCAGAAAUGAUUGUUGUUGUUUUUACCUCCCUCCCUCACUCCUUCCUUCCCUCCCUCCCUUCCUUCCUUCCUUUCUUCUUCCUUUUUGAGACAGAGUCUCUCUCUCUCUCUCUGUCGCCCAGGCUGGAGUGCAGUGGCGCAGUCUCAACUCACUGCAACCUCUGCCUCUUGGACUCAAGCAAUUCUCGUGUCUGAGCCUCCCGAGUGGCUGGAAUUAGAGGCGCCCACCACCACACUGGCCUAAUUUUUGUAUUUUUAGUAGAGACAAAGUUUCACCAUGUUGGCCAGGCUGGUCUCAAAUUCCUGGUCUCAAGUGAUCCACCUGCCUUGGCCUCCCAAAGUGCUGGGAUUAUAGGCAUGACCCACUGCGCCCAGCCUAGACAUGUUAGAAUUGGAUAAACCAUUGAGGAAAGAGGACUUGACGGUGUCUAGAUCCCCGUGUCCCAGUGGGAUUUAUAAGGCAGGGUUUUGGAGGGUGUGAUGUCCCAGCUGUUCUGUGAAGACUGGGAGCCGGGGAAGGGUUCGGGUUCCUUAAUGAAAGUCAUACCCCAGGGACUGCAGGGACAGGUGGGGUCGCUCUCUGUCUGGGGUGUGUGUUGUCAUUGGGCAGAGACCACACCCUCACCAGUAGGACCCUGAUGUGUCAGGUUCAUUCAUUGACACAUGGACCCAAGAUGGUCAAGGCCAGCUUUGGGAGCUCUUGGCCCUCCCGCAACAGACCUAACUUGUCAAGUUUCGUUACUAAGUUCCCUGUUGCUGUCCUUCCUGGAUAACUGGGGCAAUUUUAUUCUUAAAGUUUUCCUGUGUCCAAGAUGGCAGCCAAGCAGGGAAGACAGAAUUACGUUCACUGUUCUAUCGUUUCUCAAUCUAUCGAUAGCCCUUAAACGGGAAGAGUGCUGGUUCAGGGUCACAGUGUGAAAUUCCUAAAACAACCCAGGAGAGAAUAGGUUUGACAGGGCUGGGUGUGGUAGCUGACACCUGUAAUCCCAGGCACUUUGGGAGGCCGAGGCAGGAGGAUUGCUUGAGCCCAGGAGUUUGAGACCAGCCUGGGCAACAUGGCGAGACCCCUAUCUCUACCAAAAAAAAAAAACUUUAAAAAUUAGCUGGGCAUGGUAGCAUGUGCCCGUAGUCCCAACUACUUGGGAGGCUGAGGCAGGAGGAUCAUUUAAGCCCAGGAAUUUGAGGCUGCAGUGAGCCAUCAUCACACCACUGCACUCCAGCCUGGGCCGCAGAGCCAGACCCUGUCUCUGAAAAUAAACAAAUAAAUAAAUAAGUUAGUCAGAAACAGCUGGUGUAGGCUGGGCAUGGUGGCUCCUACCUGUAAUCCCAGCACUUUGGGAGGCCAAGGUGGGUGGAUCACCUGAGGUCAGGAGUUUGAGACCCACCUGGCCAACAUGGGAAACCCCAUCUCUACUAAAAAUACAAAAAUUAGCCAGGCAUGGUUGUGGGCACCUGUAAUCCAAGCUACUCAGGAGGCUGAAGCAGGAGAAUCACUUGAACCCCGGAGGUGGAGUUUGCAGUGAGCUGAGAUCGUGCCACCGCACUCCAGCCUGGGCAACAAGAGCGAAACUCUAUCUC